rnacentral:rRNA from 1 species
AUGGCUCAGAGUGAACGCUGGCGGUAGGCCUAACACAUGCAAGUCGAACGGCAGCACAGGAGAGCUUGCUCUCUGGGUGGCGAGUGGCGGACGGGUGAGGAAUACAUCGGAAUCUACUCUGUCGUGGGGGAUAACGUAGGGAAACUUACGCUAAUACCGCAUACGACCUACGGGUGAAAGCAGGGGAUCUUCGGACCUUGCGCGAUUGAAUGAGCCGAUGUCGGAUUAGCUAGUUGGCGGGGUAAAGGCCCACCAAGGCGACGAUCCGUAGCUGGUCUGAGAGGAUGAUCAGCCACACUGGAACCGAGACACGGUCCAGACUCCUACGGGAGGCAGCAGUGGGGAAUAUUGGACAAUGGGCGCAAGCCUGAUCCAGCCAUACCGCGUGGGUGAAGAAGGCCUUCGGGUUGUAAAGCCCUUUUGUUGGGAAAGAAAUCCAGCUGGCUAAUACCCGGUUGGGAUGACGGUACCCAAAGAAUAAGCACCGGCUAACUUCGUGCCAGCAGCCGCGGUAAUACGAAGGGUGCAAGCGUUACUCGGAAUUACUGGGCGUAAAGCGUGCGUAGGUGGUCGUUUAAGUCCGUUGCGAAAGCCCUGGGCUCAACCUGGGAACUGCAGUGGAUACUGGGCGACUAGAGUGUGGUAGAGGGUAGCGGAAUUCCUGGUGUAGCAGUGAAAUGCGUAGAGAUCAGGAGGAACAUCCAUGGCGAAGGCAGCUACCUGGACCAACACUGACACUGAGGCACGAAAGCGUGGGGAGCAAACAGGAUUAGAUACCCUGGUAGUCCACGCCCUAAACGAUGCGAACUGGAUGUUGGGUGCAAUUUGGCACGCAGUAUCGAAACUAACGCGUUAAGUUCGCCGCCUGGGGAGUACGGUCGCAAGACUGAAACUCAAAGGAA